AAUUAGUUCAUUUACCCCAACCUCGUUUAUAAACCCCAACACCCACCAGCUGCUGCACAACUUCCCCCAGGGACAGGUGGGCGCCUGUAAUGACCUAAUUAACACCAAUUAAUUACAGUGUUGAACUAGUUCGUUAACCCAUUAACCCCAAGUAGCUCAUUUAUCCCGAUCAAUUACCUCGUUUAGCGUUAACCCCAAAGAGCUCAUUUAUCCCGAUCAAUUACCUCGUUUAUAAACCCCACCACCCUCCAGCUGCUGCACAACUUCCCCCCCGGGACAAAAAACGAAUUCGGGGACCCUGUUCUGGUCGGGGCCCAAGCGCUGCCCCCACCCGCUGGUGUUCGACCCCGACAACGUGAGUGGGGUCACCUGGGGGUCACCUGUGUGUCAUUAAUGUCACCUGAGUGUCACCUGUGUCACACCUGUGUCACCUGGGGGUCACCUGUGUGUCAUUAAUGUCACCUGAGUGUCACCUGUGUCACACCUGUGUCACCUGGGGGUCACCUGUGUCACACCUGUGUCACACCUGUGUCACCUGUGGGUCACCUGUGUGUCAUUAAUGUCACCUGAGUGUCACCUGUGUCACACCUGUGUCACCUGGGGGUCACCUGUGUCACACCUGUGUCACACCUGUGUCACCUGUGGGUCACCUGUGUGUCAUUAAUGUCACCUGAGUGUCACCUGUGUCACACCUGUGUCACCUGGGGGUCACCUGUGUCACACCUGUGUCACACCUGUGUCACCUGUGGGUCACCUGUGUGUCAUUAAUGUCACCUGAGUGUCACCUGUGUCACACCUGUGUCACCUGGGGGUCACCUGUGUCACACCUGUGUCACACCUGUGUCACCUGUGGGUCACCUGUGUGUCAUUAAUGUCACCUGAGUGUCACCUGUGUCACACCUGUGUCACCUGGGGGUCACCUGUGUCACACCUGUGUCACACCUGUGUCACCUGUGGGUCACCUGUGUGUCAUUAAUGUCACCUGAGUGUCACCUGUGUCACACCUGUGUCACCUGGGGGGGGGGGGGGGGGGGGGGGGGGGGGGGGGGGGGGGGGGGGGGGGGGGGGGGGGGGGGGGGGG
rnacentral:lncRNA from 12 species